rnacentral:lncRNA from 1 species
AUCCAUAAAUAAAGGCAACAGUAGUAUACCGCUGUUCAAACUCAUAAAUCCAUGGACAAAAAACAAAAUCGGGGUAACAAACUAAAACCGAGGGAAACGCAUUAAAUAUAAGAGGAGAACAACGACACAACACCGAAACGCAACACACACAGAAACAGACCAAGCAACAGACAAAACACCACGAGAAUAACAAAUAUAACAUCAAAACCAAAUACAAAAAUUUGGGAUAGAUAAGUACCGUGCCACGUCUUAUCUAAAAAAUAAGAGAAAACACAAACGACUCAACGUUAAAAUGCAACACACACAGAAACGAACAAUAUUAUAACAAUGGCCA